UUGUUUGUCUGGAUUGUGGUGUGUGCGGUGAACCUGAGGACCGUAUGCUGUGUUUGGAUAGGUAACACGCAACGGUGUUCGGGUCCACUAAAGCAUCCAAACUCAUCCUCGACCGUA
rnacentral:precursor_RNA from 9 species